rnacentral:rRNA from 1 species
AUACGUAGGGUGCAAGCGUUAAUCGGAAUUACUGGGCGUAAAGCGUGCGCAGGCGGUUUUGUAAGACAGAGGUGAAAUCCCCGGGCUCAACCCGGGAACUGCCUUUGUGACUGCCAGGCUUGAGUACGGCAGAGGGGGAUGGAAUUCCGCGUGUAGCGGUGAAAUGCGUAGAUAUGCGGAGGAACACCGAUGGCGAAGGCCUUCCCGGGCGCAUGUACUGGCGCUCAUGCACGAAAGCGUGGGGAGCAAACAGGAGUAGAUACCGUGGUUGGCCGCGGCCUAAACGGUGUCAUAUGUGUGGGGGGUCUUCAUUGACUCAGUAACGAAGCUAACGCUUGAAGUGUACCGCCUGGGGAGUACGGUCGCAAGGUUGAAACUCAAAGGAAUUGACGGGG